rnacentral:rRNA from 1 species
AGAGGCGAUGAAGGACGUGCUAAUCUGCGAUAAGCGUCGGUAAGGUGAUAUGAACCGUUAUAACCGGCGAUUUCCGAAUGGGGAAACCCAGUGUGAUUCGUCACACUAUCAUUAACUGAAUCCAUAGGUUAAUGAGGCGAACCGGGGGAACUGAAACAUCUAAGUACCCCGAGGAAAAGAAAUCAACCGAGAUUCCCCCAGUAGCGGCGAGCGAACGGGGAGGAGCCCAGAGCCUGAAUCAGUGUGUGUGUUA